rnacentral:pre_miRNA from 1 species
CCACGACGACUUUCUAUUGAGUUGGAACGUUUGCCUGAGUUUGCCGCUAGGGGCGCUGCUCCAACUCCAUACAAAUUUGAGUUA